UGACCGCUGGCGGCGUGCCUACUACAUGCACGUCGAGCGACCAGACGAGGAGCUUGCUCCUCUGACGUUAGCGGCGGACGGGUGAGUAACACGUGGAUAACCUACCUAUAAGACUGGGAUAACUUCGGGAAACCGGAGCUAAUACCGGAUAAUAUAUUGAACCGCAUGGUUCAAUAGUGAAAGACGGUUUUGCUGUCACUUAUAGAUGGAUCCGCGCCGCAUUAGCUAGUUGGUAAGGUAACGGCUUACCAAGGCGACGAUGCGUAGCCGACCUGAGAGGGUGAUCGGCCACACUGGAACUGAGACACGGUCCAGACUCCUACGGGAGGCAGCAGUAGGGAAUCUUCCGCAAUGGGCGAAAGCCUGACGGAGCAACGCCGCGUGAGUGAUGAAGGUCUUCGGAUCGUAAAACUCUGUUAUUAGGGAAGAACAAAUGUGUAAGUAACUAUGCACGUCUUGACGGUACCUAAUCAGAAAGCCACGGCUAACUACGUG
rnacentral:rRNA from 1 species